rnacentral:rRNA from 1 species
AGCGAACGCUGGCGGCAGGCCUAACACAUGCAAGUCGAACGAACUCUUCGGAGUUAGUGGCGGACGGGUGAGUAACACGUGGGAACGUGCCUUUAGGUUCGGAAUAACUCAGGGAAACUUGUGCUAAUACCGAAUGUGCCCUUCGGGGGAAAGAUUUAUCGCCUUUAGAGCGGCCCGCGUCUGAUUAGCUAGUUGGUGAGGUAACGGCUCACCAAGGCGACGAUCAGUAGCUGGUCUGAGAGGAUGACCAGCCACACUGGGACUGAGACACGGCCCAGACUCCUACGGGAGGCAGCAGUGGGGAAUCUUGCGCAAUGGGCGAAAGCCUGACGCAGCCAUGCCGCGUGAAUGAUGAAGGUCUUAGGAUUGUAAAAUCCUUUCACCGGUGAAGAUAAUGACUGUAGCCGGAGAAGAAGCCCCGGCUAACUUCGUGCCAGCAGCCGCAGUAACAC